AGGAUACAAAUAAAAAUGUUAUACCUUUCUUCCCCAUUACAGAGCUCUUUACUCCCUUCUUCCAAUAUUACAGUGCAAGUUGCUUUACAUUCUCUUUCCACAUUUUGGAUAGUUUCACAUUUUUCUUGAGUGUCAUGUACGAUGUGGUUUGCUAGGGUGAGAAAAUCAUAAUCCUAGGAUUGUUUUCUUUUGCUUUCUAAAAGUCAUAUUUAUACUUACAUGUUCAACCACCUCAAGCUGGCAGAAGACCUUGUACCCGCGUUGUAGAUACAAUCUAGCAGAUGUGUGUUCUCUCCUGUAUGUUGACAUGGUAAUUUUUUCACAAGUGAGUCAGUUUCAGUGUUGCUAUUAUUUCCACCACAGUUGGUCUGCCCCCCAGAUAAUUGGCAUUUGUCAUCAUCAUACGUAGACCUCUACUCAUGGUUCUUGUCUCCAGUCUGCCAUUUCCUAGCAUAGUGACUCGGCUUCCAUUCUCUCAUCUGUCAACCGGGAACACUAAAUUCUGCCUAUUCCCGGGGUGGAUCAGAUGUGGGGAUGAGUAAAGAAGCACUUGACAUUUCAGACAGCAUUGUAGAAAACUCAUUAUUCAUCCUGUUAGUCCGCCUCAUAUUUCACUUAAUGCAACUUUGCCUUUAUUUCCCCUCUGAAGAUUCUUCAAACUUCAUGAGAGAAAGUGUGAACCUAUUAUUAUGACUGUUCCCAGGAAGUCUGACCUUUUCCAAGAUGACCUGUAUCCUGACACAGCGGGGCCAGAGGCCGCGCUGGAGGCAGAAGAGUGGUUCGAAGGCAAGAAUGCAGACCCAAUCCUCAUCUCCUUGAAGCACGGGUACAUUCCAGGCAAAAACAGGGAUCUCAAGGUGGUCAAGAAGAA
rnacentral:sRNA from 1 species